AGGAGACAGGCUGAUGGGUGCGGAGCUCUAGCAACUUCCUUGUUGAAUUGUACGGCUCUGUUUAGACGUUUAAGACUCGAUCGCAUUUCUGUCACACUGAGCUGCUAAAGGUUGGGCUUAGGGUUGUGGCGCCUUCCUUGCGGGCUUGUUGGAUAAUUCGGAAGGUCCCAAAAUGUGGGUGUCACAGUAGAGUAGCUGUCAUGGACCUAUGUCGAGUGCGCGUGUCUAAAGGACGAAAAGUGAGGCAUGGACUGGCGGCAUGUCGAGAGUUGUUCGGCACCGAACCGCCCAUCCUGCACCCGAGAAAUGGGUGGGAACGGUCAGGAACGCGCGUUCUGAUACUUGUAAAUGCUACAUUCAUCGUUCCAUCGCAUCUUUUGCCGUUCCUUUACUUUCUGACCCUCGAUGGUACGCGGAGAGCUGGUCAUACAUCUUUCUGUUUAAAAUUUGAAACUUCUUAUUUAUUAUUUCUCAGAUUCAUGGAGGAUACGACUGGCAAAUUUUGAUAAGGUGUGACUUGGAGGAGUUCAGACUUGGUAAAUGAGCUUACUCAGUUGUAAAUGUCCAGAAGUGAUCAGUAUAAAUAAACAGAUUUUUUUUGGCUCAAGGCGGGAGUUUAGCUUUUUAUAGAAGCUCAGGAAAUAUUCAAACAACACAAAACCCCCAUAAAUACGCAAAAAAAUAAUAAGAAGAAAACUUCUGACUUGGCUAAAAGAUAAGAGAGCAAUAUCAGGGAGGUGCUAUAAGGGCGAAUGGCCAUAGGUGUGAAGGUGCACCUCUGUUGACUAAAAGCUCUCAAUGGUGGUUUGUCAGGGAGAAAGUGUCACGUUAUUCAUAAUGGCUGUCUGUCUGGUCUU